rnacentral:rRNA from 1 species
UACAGAGGUCUCAAGCGUUGUUCGGAUUCAUUGGGCGUAAAGGGUGCGUAGGCGGCGCGGUAAGUCGGGUGUGAAAUCUCGGGGCUUAACUCCGAAACUGCAUUCGAUACUGCCGUGCUUGAGGACUGGAGAGGAGACUGGAAUUUACGGUGUAGCGGUGAAAAUGCGUAGAUAUCGUAAGGAAGACCAGUGGCGAAGGCGGGUCUCUGGGCCGUUACUGACGCUGAGGAGCGAAAGCGUGGGGAGCGAACAGG